GCUGGGAUAGCUCAGUUGGUAUAGCAAGAGGCUGUUAAUCUCAGAGUCAUGGGUUUGAGCCCAAUUUGGGCA